UUUUUUUAUUUUUUAUUUAUUUUUGGCUGUGCCCAUGGCACAUGGAAGUUUCUGGGCCAUGGAUUGAACUCGUGCCACAGCAGUAACCCAAGCUGCUACAGUGACACUGCCAGAUCCUUAACCAGCUGCACCACAGGAAACCUUCAUCCUCCCCUCUUCUUAUAAAGACAAUAGUCAUUGGAUUAAGACUUGCUUGAAUCCAGGAAAACCUCCCCUUAAUUACAACUGCAGAGACAUGGCUUCCAAAUAAGCUCACAUCCUGAGGCUCCAGGAAGAUGUGAAUUUGGGGGACACUACUCAGCCCAGGACACUGAAUAGGUAAGCACCUCCCUAGGAGAGCCAGUCACGGCUUGAAGAGCCGGACAGGCUGCCUUGUCAUUUCUCUCUCCUCCCUCCACCAUUCAAUCCCCUUUUCCCCUCAACUGUGCCCCAUGGAGGAGUGGGCAGUAGUUCUUGAGGUAUCUUUUUGGGCCAGGCUGUCUGCCUUAACCAUCUUUCAUGGGAAGUGUGCUGGCCGGUUGUGCACACAAGCAGAGGCCUAGGAACACAGGGCCCCUGAAUGCACUCCUGACUGACCCAGUCGCAUGGCUGGCACACGCUCAGCCCCUGCUCAUUCUCAGACACAAAAGCUGACUACAUUUUCAGCUUCUGAUCUUUCACUUUACACUGGGUGCAAACUUACCUUGAUUCCCUGAGAUGAUGUCUUCAUGGGCUGGUCCUUUCCUAACAGCCACUGGGACAUGGCCCAGCAUUACUCAUUGUCACUCACUGUCCUGAAAGUCCUCACUCAGCCUAAGACCAGGAUGUGUACUUCUGCUCGAGGCUCUCGUCUUCCUAUCUACUCAUCCAGGACUUGAAAACUCUUAUAAACAAGUGAAUGGAGCUGUCCUGAUGAUCCACACGGUAUCUGACAACCUCGAAGCAGGCAUAUUGGAUGAUGCUCUUCUUUUAUUUACUUAUGUGUCAUUUUUUAAGGCCACACCCACCGCAUAUGGAGGUUCCCAGGCUAGGGAUUGAAUCAAAGCUGUAGCUGCUGGCCUAUGCCACAGCCACAGCCACAGCAGAUCCGAGCCCCGUUUGUGACCUACACCACAGCUCUCAGCAACUCCAGAUCCUUAACUCACUGGCAAGGCCAGGGACGGAACCUAUGUCCUCAUGGGUAUUAGUCAGAUUUGUUUCCACUGAGCCAUGACGGGAACUCCAAUGUUCUUCUUUUAAAAUGGUCCAGCCAGGUCAGAGUUGAAAGCUCUCAUGGGGGUGGUGAUAGUAUAUCUUUGGAGGAUUUAAUAAAAUUUUACCUUUAGAAUAAUUUUAGAUUUACAGACAGUUUUCAAAGACAAUAUAGAGUGUUCCUAUGUACUCCAAACCCAGUUUUCCCUCUGAUGAAUAUCUCACAUUGACAUGGCAUAUUUGUCACAAUUAAUGAAUCAAUACUGAUUUGUCACUACUAAGGUCUAUACUUUAUUCAUUUUUUUCUUAAUUUUGACUUAAUGUCCUUUUUCUGUCCCAGGAUCCCAUCCUGAGCACCUUGUUACAUUUAGUCAUCAUGUCUCCUUCCACUUCUCUGGAUUAAUUCUCCCGGCUGUGACAGUGAGGACACAUCUUUUAUAACAGCUCUGCUGUCUCAGAGUCAACAGCCAUGCAAAUCCACCGACUUAGAUGUCCAGGACCCAUGAGCAUGGGGAGGAAGUUCACAGGCGCAGACAUGGGUCACUUAGAGUAAUGCAUGGGGCCUGAACCAAUCUGCACUGUUCAUAAAUGUCUACAAAACAAGUGAAACAGGAGUCCUCAUCGUGGCGCAGUGGUUAAUGAAUCCGACUAGGAACCAUGAGGUUGUGGGUUCGAUCCCCGCCCUUGCUCAGUGGGCCAGGGAUUGAACCUGCAACCUCAUGGUUCCUAGUUGAAUUCAUUUCCAAUGUACCAAAACGGGAACUCUGACAAAUACCUUAGGAUAUCACAUAUAUGUGGAAUCUAAUAGGCACAAAUGAACCUAUCUACAGAACAGAAACAGACUCACAUAGAGAACAGACGUGUGGUUGCCAAGAGGGUGGGAGAAGGAGUGGGAUGGACGGAGAGUUUGUGGUCAGUCGAGGCAAACUAUCACAUUUAGAAAGGAUAGGCAAUGAGGUUCUGCUGUAUAGCACAGGGAGCUGUGUCCAGUCUCUUGGAUACAUGAUGGGGGAUGAUAUGAGAAGAAGAAUCUGUGCAUGUAUGAAUGACUGGGUCACCCUGAUGUACAUGAGAUAUUGGCACAGCACUGUACAUCAACGAUAACAAUUUUUUAAUGUAAAAAAAAUGUUAAUGAAUAAAGCCACACAGCUGUGAUGGAAAUAAUCAGAGUACAUGUUAUGAGGAACUGCUCUCUCGGUGGAAGAGGAGGGAGAGUGAGCAGCCUGAGGGUUCCGAGCAAGGCCAGCCAGCGGGCAGAGACAGACACUGCUCGUUCCCAUCUCCCAUGGGGAGCAAGGGCACAGGCAGCUUCUAGUGUUCGAGCCCAAGAUUCCUCAUCCUCCAGAUGGGUAGACUGUGUGGUGGGCCACAGGGAUGUAGCCAGCUCACAGAGCCCCUCGCCUGUGCCCUCAGGGCCAGGGAACCAUAAAGACAUUUGUUCCCCAGAACCAGAGGCACCUGUCAUGUGCAGACACCUUCAGGAAGCAGGGGCGGGGAUUCUAUUCCAUCCUCUUCCCAUCAGCACAUUCUCCACUGAAUCUCCAUAGGGAGCAGAACAGUCAUCUGGCUCCUUAUGUGGAGCAGGGGCCAGGUCAGGCUCAUGCAGUGAACAUCCUGCUGAUUCUAGUAGGGGAGGGGAGAGGAAGGAGAGCUAAUACAUGGCAAAGAAAGAGGUAACCACUCUGAGCCCUGGAGAAGGAACUGGGGCAAAGGAGGGAAAAAAACAGAAAGUAAUAGGUACUAAUAGGAAGCACUUUUUUCAUCUUUUUUUUUUUUAUAUAGGUCCACACCCACAGCAUCUGGAAGUUCCCAGAUUAGGGGUCAAAAUAGACCUACACCUGCCCGCCUAUGCCACAUCGACAGCAAUGCAGGAUCCAAGCCGUGUCU
rnacentral:lncRNA from 1 species